AAAAUGAAAAGAUAAAGGGGAAAAACAAUAAAAGAAAAUAUUGUAGUACAGCAGAGCUGCUAUUCUUUCACUCAAUUCAGUGAAUUAGCUUGACUGAAACUGGAUUUGUUUCAAAAAAUAAAGUCCAAAGAAUAUAGUAUGAAUGAUUCAUUGAUAUUUGGUGAUAUACUAAAAUUGUGAUUGAAAUACUGUUGUAGGUGUGGAGUCAGUUUCGGUGGACAUGAAAGACAAGAAAUUGACCUUAACAGGGGACAUUGAUCCAGUACAAGUAGUUGCCAAGCUAAGGAAGUUUUGUCAUACAGAAAUAGUUUCUGUUGGACCGGCAAAAGAGGAAAAGAAGGAAGAACCUAAAAAGGAUGAUAAAAAGAAGGAAGAUGUGAAGAAAGAUUCUGCAAAAGAAAUAGUUGCAGAUCCACUCAAGUUCCAUCAAGCCUAUGCCUAUUAUUAUCAGAUGAAACCACAGUACAAUCCAUAUUACAGUGCUAUAAGUGUGGAAGAGGAUCCUAAUGGCUGUGUCAUUGUCUAAUUUUAUAUUAUUAUAACUAAGUUGGAUUUAAAAAAUGAAUAAAAAGAAAAAUAUUGUAUUUAUUUUUUCCUUGUUUCUUCUAAUGACUUAAACUUAGGGAUAGCUGGCCAAGCCUGUGAGGGUAUUAUGAUGUACGGGAUUAGAUUUUGUUACGUGAAACUUCUGCAGAAUCUUGAUAUCUUAUUUAUAUGUAAGAACCAGAAAAAAAUUGGCAAUUCAGUAAAUUUGAGUGUAUUUUCAAUAUAAGUGUGUAUCAUUCAAUAUUAACAAUUGUGUUAAUGUGUUUCGGUUUACGUAAUUAGAGGACAACAUAAUUUCAAAAUUAUCCUAAUAAAAGUUUCACACAUCUCAAUGACAUGGUUUUAAAGUCCAAAAUUCCAAAAUCAACAAUGAACAUAAAACAUUUAUUUAACAGAGACAUCCAUGUGCCUCUAAUUGAAAUUCUUAAAAUCGACCAUAUUUUCAAAUUUAUAAUAAAAUGGAGUUAUCAAGCACCAAACUCAAUUACGUAGAUUCAGCAUUGGUUAAGAAACCCUUCGUUCUGAUCCAAGAGAAACCUUUGCCAAAAAAAAUGCAUAAAGUGGAGAAUCAGCAAAUGCAAGCUUUCACUGUCACCAAAGAAGAGAGAAAUUCGAAUUUGAGUUUUGUCGUGACACAACAUUAAUAAAGAGGAUGAAGUGAACAAUGUAAAACGGAUUUUUUUACAUUUGAUACCUUAAAUCUAAUAAAAAAGUUAAACUUGAUUUAAAAAAUGUUACGGCGCAUUAUUUUCACUAGUGAUGAUUGAUUUUACAUAAAUUUUGUGUGAUUAUAAUAUUAUAUUAAUUUAAGAUUUAAGACAACCACAUUAUUAUUAUUAUUAUUAUUAUUAUUAUUAUUAUUAUUAUUAUUAUUACAGAAAUGUGGAACUGAAUCUAAUAGCACAUGAUUCUUGGUGCUAUUGUCACUGUGGAGUAGUUCAGUAUCGGCUUUUCUUUCUUGGAUAAAUUAUUUGGAUGGAAUAUUCUUAUACUGGGUUUUAGAAAUAAUUAACUCCUUCUCCUCUCAGCUUCUCAGUCUUUUAUUUUUACUGUUGACUUGGGUUUUCGAUUAUUGGAUUAGCUAGCUCGGACUCUAUUAUAUGGGUUUUAACUUGUUCUCGACUAUUGGAAGCGGACCAUCACUCAACUAUUGGAUAUGGUCAAGUUCUCGGCUUCUAGAUCCAGGAUCACUCAAAUGUGGGUGUGUGUAUCUGCAAUGAUGGUAAAGUGAGAACCAGUUUGUUUGAUUAUCAUAUAAAAACACUCUACCUACCUAUUAAACAUAUUACCUAUUUAUAGUGGUUGUUGUUGAGCUUUAACUUAAUUGAACUUUUACUUUUCACACCUUUCGGCUAUUAAGUAUAAUUUUAGAGUUUUGAAUCUAUUUAUUAGACUGUGAUUGAAUGUUAUUUUAUUCUAUUAUUUAUUUAUAUUAUUUUAACUUUUAAUAUUCUGUUUUUCGAUUUCUUGGCGUAAUUAAUACAAUACUAAAUGAAAACACUUUAUUUUAAAAACAAGUUAAAAUGUGAAUCAUAUUUAUAGAGAUUGAAAAAUAUUUCAUUAUUUGUAAAUAAAAAAUAUGGUUUGAAUCGAACCUGUUUGGUAGCUUUAAAAUACAAAAUGAAGAAAAUUUGAAUGUGGGGCUAACGCGGAGAGGAACGUGGUAGGGAACGUUGGCGUCGUCAUCGACAACUUUCAUCUAUAGUCAACAUAAGGAAUCUUCCAGGAUCCAAACUCGAACUAAUAUUAUCCCUUCUUUUCUUUUCCUUCAAAUUAUUCGGCUUCACUUCACUCUCUCUGUCGCCGCCAUAAACUACUAUAAAUCUUCCUCAACCUUAUCUUCAUUUCACAACUUCAAAUUUCAAAACCAUCUUUUCCUCAUCCACCUAUCUUCUCCUUCACUCUCUACCAAUUUGCACUAACACUCCCUCUUCUAUCUUCACUCUCACAAACUUCAAUAACAAUGAAGGUUAGUGUUCCAAUUUCACCUCUUAAUUCUUCUUAGAUAUUCACACUUCAUACUCCAAGUUCAGUCUCUGUUUUGUUUUGAUCGUUUAUGGUCUAAAUCAACUUCCAAACUUAGAGUGUUGAGUAGUCCUAACAACUGUUUGAUUUUUGCUGUAACAGAAAGUUGUGUUGAAGGUGGAUGUACAUGAAGACAAAAUCAAGCAGAAAGCUAUGAAGGCUGUCUCUGGCAUUUCAGGUAUUCAAUUAAAUUUCAAUUACUGAACUUCCUCAUCUCUUUAUCUUCUCUUCUUUCAAUGCUCUAAUGAAAAAUGAAAAGAUAAAGGGGAAAAACAAUAAAAGAAAAUAUUGUAAUACAGCAGAGCUGCUAUUCUUUCACUCAAUUCAGUGAAUUAGCUUGACUGAAACUGGUUUUUGUUUCAAAAAAUAAAGUCCAAAGAAUAUAGUAUGAAUGAUUCAUUGAUAUUUGGUGAUAUACUAAAAUUGUGAUUGAAAUACUGUUGUAGGUGUGGAGUCAGUUUCGGUGGACAUGAAAGACAAGAAAUUGACCUUAACAGGGGACAUUGAUCCUGUACAAGUAGUUGCCAAGCUAAGGAAGUUUUGUCACACAGAAAUAGUUUCUGUUGGACCGGCAAAAGAGGAAAAGAAGGAAGAACCUAAAAAGGAUGAUAAAAAGAAGGAAGAUGUGAAGAAAGAUUCUGCAAAAGAAAUGGUUGUAGAUCCACUCAAGUUCCAUGAAGCAUAUCCAUAUUAUUAUCAGAUGAAACCACAAUACAAUCCAUAUUACAGUGCCGUAAGUGUGGAAGAGGAUCCUAAUGGCUGUGUCAUUGUCUAAUUUUAUUAUAAAUAAGUUGGAUUUAAAAAGUGAAUACAAAAGAAAAAUAUUGUAUUUAU
rnacentral:lncRNA from 1 species